GGAAAAAACAAGCGUCAUAGUCCGGAGCAUGUUUCGUUCGUGCCCAAAAUGAUUUAACCGUAGAGCAGUAAUCUCCUUUUUGAUUGGUACUGUAAAACGAAGACGUGCCGCUUAUUGACGUUCCCAGAGAAGCGCUUGAAUCGUUUUAAAAUGUUGCUGAGAAUGAUUACGAUGCUCCGUGAUCAUUUGGUUGAUUUCACCCACGCGCCACUACUACGGGUCAGGUCUCAGGUAUUCGGGUUCAGGUGGACCCAUGAAGACCUUUAAACCCACUGGGCACAAACUGUUUGAAUCAAUGUUGUUUUAAUGUAAUUUGUCAAUGUAUUGUGAAUGUGGACUCUACGUGGAAAAUACAUUGGAUUUCAAACAUGGCAACCAAAUUUCACCAUAGACAAACCUUGUAUAAAAUAUGUUGAAUUUGUACCUUUUUUAAACAAAUAAUGUAACAUUAAACCUUAAAAUGAGUAACACAUCCAUGCCACAUUUUGAGGUUACUGUAACUAAAAAUGUUUUCUUAUGUAAUCAUAUAAAGCGUGCAAGUUCAAGAUUGCAUGGCAUGCAUAGGUCGUUGCAGGUUUUUGGAGAUCUUGACAAUUGCUGUAAUAAUCUACCCAACAUCUCGAAAGGCAUUGAUCACUUGCACCAUGUCUUUUUAAUGUAAUAUUUUUACUGCAAUCCAGGUAAUUUGGUUCUGCUAGCUGAAGCACACAGUGAUAACACAUUAAUCUGUUGUAUAAAUAAAGAAAAUAUCUGACA